rnacentral:rRNA from 1 species
UUAUAUGGAGAGUUUGAUCCUGGCUCAGGACGAACGCUGGCGGCGUGCCUAAUACAUGCAAGUCGAGCGGACGGAUGGGAGCUUGCUCCCAGACCGUCAGCGGCGGACGGGUGAGUAACACGUGGGCAACCUGCCUGUAAGACUGGGAUAACUCCGGGAAACCGGGGCUAAUACCGGAUAAUUCUUUUCCUCACAUGAGGAAAAGCUGAAAGAUGGCAUCUCGCUAUCACUUACAGAUGGGCCCGCGGCGCAUUAGCUAGUUGGUGAGGUAACGGCUCACCAAGGCGACGAUGCGUAGCCGACCUGAGAGGGUGAUCGGCCACACUGGGACUGAGACACGGCCCAGACUCCUACGGGAGGCAGCAGUAGG